UAGGGAAUCUUCGGCAAUGGACGAAAGUCUGACCGAGCAACGCCGCGUGAGUGAAGAAGGUUUUCGGAUCGUAAAACUCUGUUGUUAGAGAAGAACAAGGACGUUAGUAACUGAACGUCCCCUGACGGUAUCUAACCAGAAAGCCACGGCUAACUACGUGCCAGCAGCCGCGGUAAUACGUAGGUGGCAAGCGUUGUCCGGAUUUAUUGGGCGUAAAGCGGGCGCAGGCGGUUUCUUAAGUCUGAUGUGAAAGCCCCCGGCUCAACCGGGGAGGGUCAUUGGAAUCUGGGAGACUUGAGUGCAGAAGAGGAGGGUGGAAUUCCAUGUGUAGCGGUGAAAUGCGUAGAUAUAUGGAGGAACAUCAGUGGCGAAGGCGGCUCUCUGGUCUGUAACUGACGCUGAGGCUCAAAAGCGUGGGGAGCAAACAGG
rnacentral:rRNA from 1 species